rnacentral:rRNA from 1 species
UUUAUGGAGAGUUUGAUCCUGGCUCAGGAUGAACGCUGGCGGCGUGCCUAAUACAUGCAAGUCGAGCGAACGGACGAGAAGCUUGCUUCUCUGAUGUUAGCGGCGGACGGGUGAGUAACACGUGGAUAACCUACCUAUAAGACUGGGAUAACUUCGGGAAACCGGAGCUAAUACCGGAUAAUAUUUUGAACCGCAUGGUUCAAAAGUGAAAGACGGUCUUGCUGUCACUUAUAGAUGGAUCCGCGCUGCAUUAGCUAGUUGGUAAGGUAACGGCUUACCAAGGCAACGAUGCAUAGCCGACCUGAGAGGGUGAUCGGCCACACUGGAACUGAGACACGGUCCAGACUCCUACGGGAGGCAGCAGUAGGGAAUCUUCCGCAAUGGGCGAAAGCCUGACGGAGCAACGCCGCGUGAGUGAUGAAGGUCUUCGGAUCGUAAAACUCUGUUAUUAGGGAAGAACAUAUGUGUAAGUAACUGUGCACAUCUUGACGGUACCUAAUCAGAAAGCCACGGCUAACUACGUGCCAGCAGCCGCGGUAAUACGUAGGUGGCAAGCGUUAUCCGGAAUUAUUGGGCGUAAAGCGCGCGUAGGCGGUUUUUUAAGUCUGAUGUGAAAGCCCACGGCUCAACCGUGGAGGGUCAUUGGAAACUGGAAAACUUGAGUGCAGAAGAGGAAAGUGGAAUUCCAUGUGUAGCGGUGAAAUGCGCAGAGAUAUGGAGGAACACCAGUGGCGAAGGCGACUUUCUGGUCUGUAACUGACGCUGAUGUGCGAAAGCGUGGGGAUCAAACAGGAUUAGAUACCCUGGUAGUCCACGCCGUAAACGAUGAGUGCUAAGUGUUAGGGGGUUUCCGCCCCUUAGUGCUGCAGCUAACGCAUUAAGCACUCCGCCUGGGGAGUACGACCGCAAGGUUGAAACUCAAAGGAAUUGACGGGGACCCGCACAAGCGGUGGAGCAUGUGGUUUAAUUCGAAGCAACGCGAAGAACCUUACCAAAUCUUGACAUCCUUUGACAACUCUAGAGAUAGAGCCUUCCCCUUCGGGGGACAAAGUGACAGGUGGUGCAUGGUUGUCGUCAGCUCGUGUCGUGAGAUGUUGGGUUAAGUCCCGCAACGAGCGCAACCCUUAAGCUUAGUUGCCAUCAUUAAGUUGGGCACUCUAAGUUGACUGCCGGUGACAAACCGGAGGAAGGUGGGGAUGACGUCA